rnacentral:rRNA from 1 species
CCCUUAGAUGUUCUGGGCCGCACGCGUGCUACACUGACCGGCGCAACAAGCUUUUUUCCUUGGCUCGACAGGCCCGGGCAAUCUUUGAACGCUGGUCGUGAUGGGGAUAGACUUUUGCAAUUUUUGGUCUUCAACGAGGAAUUCCUAGUAAACGCAAGUCAUCAACUUGCAUUGAUUACGUCCCUGCCCUUUGUACACACCGCCCGUCGCACCUACCGAUUGAAUGGUCCGGUGAAGCCUCCGGAUUGGCGCGCACCUCGGUGCCGCCGAGAAGUUGGCUAAACCUUACCAUUUAGAGGAAGGUGAAGUCGUAACA